AACUUGCAAGCAGAUCUCAACUGGUGCGCGCGCACACACACGCACAGAUCUGAGCCACGCGCACAGGCAGUACUGCCCCCUUUCUUCUCCAAGUCCGGCCGGCUGAUCGGUCGUUAUGUAUAUGAACGUGGUGGUGGGGUUCUUUUUAUGGUGAGUGGUUUCGAGCUAGGUGGU
rnacentral:precursor_RNA from 1 species